CGGGGUGGAGUAAUGUCUGGGAAACUGCCUGAUGGAGGGGGAUAACUACUGGAACGGUAGCUAAUACCGCAUAACGUCUUCGGACCAAAGUGGGGGACCUUCGGGCCUCACGCCAUCGGAUGUGCCCAGAUGGGAUUAGCUAGUAGGUGGGGUAAUGGCUCACCUAGGCGACGAUCCCUAGCUGGUCUGAGAGGAUGACCAGCCACACUGGAACUGAGACACGGUCCAG
rnacentral:rRNA from 1 species